rnacentral:rRNA from 1 species
AUUGAACGCUGGCGUCAGGCCUAACACAUGCAAGUCGAACGAGUGGCGGACGGGUGAGUAAUGUCUGGGAAACUGCCCGAUGGAGGGGGAUAACUACUGGAAACGGUAGCUAAUACCGCAUACCAUCAGAUGUGCCCCGAUGGGAUUAGCUUGUUGGUGGGGUAACGGCUCACCUAGGCGACGAUCCCUAGCUGGUCUGAGAGGAUGACCAACCACACCGGAACUUAGACACGGUCCAGACUCCGACGGGUGGCAGCAGUGGGGAAGAUUGCACAAUGGGCGCAAGCUGGAUGCAGCCAUGCCGCGUGUAUGAAGAAGGCCUUCGGGUUGUAAAGUACUUUCAGCGGGGAGGCGUUACCCGCAGAAGAAGCACCGGCUAACUCCGUGCCAGCAGCCGCGGUAAUUC